rnacentral:rRNA from 1 species
UACGUAGGCAGCAAGCGUUGUUCGGAGUUACUGGGCGUAAAGGGCGUGUAGGCGGUCAGGUAAGUGGGAUGUGAAAUGCCCCGGCUCACCCGGGGACCGGCAUCCCAAACUGCCUGACUUGAGUAUGGGAGAGGAUGUGGGAAUUCCUGGUGUAGCGGUGAAAUGCGUAGAUAUCAGGAGGAACACCGGUGGCGAAGGCGCACAUCUGGCCCAAUACUGACGCUGAGGCGCGAAAGCUAGGGGAGCAAACGGG